GAUGAACGCUGGCGGCGUGCCUAAUACAUGCAAGUCGAGCGAACGGACGAGAAGCUUGCUUCUCUGAUGUUAGCGGCGGACGGGUGAGUAACACGUGGAUAACCUACCUAUAAGACUGGGAUAACUUCGGGAAACCGGAGCUAAUACCGGAUAAUAUUUUGAACCGCAUGGUUCAAAAGUGAAAGACGGUCUUGCUGUCACUUAUAGAUGGAUCCGCGCUGCCUUAGCUAGUUGGUAAGGUAACGGCUUACCAAGGCAACGAUGCAUAGCCGACCUGAGAGGGUGAUCGGCCACACUGGAACUGAGACACGGUCCAGACUCCUACGGGAGGCAGCAGUAGGGAAUCUUCCGCAAUGGGCGAAAGCCUGACGGAGCAACGCCGCGUGAGUGAUGAAGGUCUUCGGAUCGUAAAACUCUGUUAUUAGGGAAGAACAUAUGUGUAAGUAACUGUGCACAUCUUGACGGUACCUAAUCAGAAAGCCACGGCUAACUACGUG
rnacentral:rRNA from 1 species